UUUGCUGAUCAUAUUUGCUGUUUACAGUUUAUCUUUAUCUAUAAUAAUAUUCAAGAUAAUGACCAAAAACUGCAAAAUUUCCUUAAAAUUACCAAUUAAGUGGCAGCAACCCAACAAUUGGAUGUUUGAUUCAUCUGAAAAUUUCAGGGCUGAUAGAUAUUGACCUAAUGAACAUUUUUACUCCAAGUCAGAUUUGCUCUUAAUGCUUUCGUUUUUGAGAUAUAAGCCAAAAACUGCAUUUGACCCUAUGUUCUAUUUUAAGUAACGGCGGCCAUGUUUUUUGACAGAUCAAAAAUCAAAGCACACACUUUGUGCAGGAUAAUCUAAGGAACAACCAUGCUAAGUUUUAACCAAAUCCAUUCAGUAGUUUCAGAGGAGAAGAUUUUUUAAAGUUAGCAAAUAUGAUGAACAAAUUGUGAAAAAUUGUCAUUAAAGGACAAUAACCCUUAAGGG
rnacentral:lncRNA from 1 species